AGCGCAGGUGGUUGUAUAAGUCUGAAGUAAAAGGCAGUGGCUCAACCAUUGUGUGCUUUGGAAACUAUACAACUUGAGUGCAGAAGGGGAGAGUGGAAUUCCAUGUGUAGCGGUGAAAUGCGUAGAUAUUGGGAAGAACACCAGUGGCGAAGGCGGCUUUCUGGACUGUAACUGACGCUGAGGCUCGAAAGCUAGGGUAGCGAACG
rnacentral:rRNA from 1 species